rnacentral:lncRNA from 1 species
CCGUACCAGCCUUACACCAUGUGGGAAGACUACUUGACCCACCCAACCGUUACACACCACAGAAUAUGUGAAGUUGUUUUGAUUCGUGAAACUGAAGAAGAGUGGACUAGAUUGAAAGUAGCUUUUGACAUAUGGAAAUUAUGUAUAUCAAGUAUUCUGCUAGUGAUAAGGUAUUUCUUAAGUUGCAUGUUGAAAGAAA